GAUGAACGCUAGCGGGAGGCCUAACACAUGCAAGCCGAGCGGUAGAGUCUCUUCGGAGACUUGAGAGCGGCGCACGGGUGCGGAACACGUGUGCAACCUGCCUUUAUCUGGGGGAUAGCCUUUCGAAGGGAAGAUUAAUACCCCAUAAUAUACUGGAUGGCAUCAUCUGGUAUUGAAAACUCCGGUGGAUAGAGAUGGGCACGCGCAAGAUUAGAUAGUUGGUGAGGUAACGGCUCACCAAGUCAGCGAUCUUUAGGGGGCCUGAGAGGGUGAUCCCCCACACUGGUACUGAGACACGGACCAGACUCCUACGGGAGGCAGCAGUGAGGAAUAUUGGACAAUGGGUGAGAGCCUGAUCCAGCCAUCCCGCGUGAAGGACGACGGCCCUAUGGGUUGUAAACUUCUUUUGUAUAGGGAUAAACCUAGAUACGUGUAUCUAGCUGAAGGUACUAUACGAAUAAGCACCGGCUAACUCCGU
rnacentral:rRNA from 1 species